UGGGGAAUUUUGGACAAUGGGCGAAAGCCUGAUCCAGCAAUGCCGCGUGUGUGAAGAAGGCCUUCGGGUUGUAAAGCACUUUUGUCCGGAAAGAAAUCCUUGGCUCUAAUACAGUCGGGGGAUGACGGUACCGGAAGAAUAAGCACCGGCUAACUACGUGCCAGCAGCCGCGGUAAUACGUAGGGUGCAAGCGUUAAUCGGAAUUACUGGGCGUAAAGCGUGCGCAGGCGGUUUGCUAAGACCGAUGUGAAAUCCCCGGGCUCAACCUGGGAACUGCAUUGGUGACUGGCAGGCUAGAGUAUGGCAGAGGGGGGUUAGAAUUCCACGUGUAGCAGUGAAAUGCGUAGAGAUGUGGAGGAAUACCGAUGGCGAAGGCAGCCCCCUGGGCCAAUACUGACGCUCAUGCACGAAAGGCGUGGGGAGCAAACAGGAUUAGAUACCCCUGGUAGUCCACGCCCUAAACGAUGUCAACUAGUUGUUGGGGAUUCAUUUCCUAGUAACGUAGCUAACGCGUGAAGUUGACCGCCUGGGGAGUACGGUCGCAAGAUUAAAACUCAAAGGAAUUGACGGGGUCAUAGCUGUUUCCU
rnacentral:rRNA from 1 species